rnacentral:rRNA from 1 species
CAUUACCUAGAGUUGUAGGCUUUGCCUACCAUCUCUUACCCAUGUCUUUUGAGUACCUUCGUUUCCUCGGCGGGUCCGCCCGCCGAUUGGACAAACUUAAACCCUUUGUAAUUGAAAUCAGCGUCUGAAAAAACAUAAUAGUUACAACUUUCAACAACGGAUCUCUUGGUUCUGGCAUCGAUGAAGAACGCAGCGAAAUGCGAUAAGUAGUGUGAAUUGCAGAAUUCAGUGAAUCAUCGAAUCUUUGAACGCACAUUGCGCCCCUUGGUAUUCCAUGGGGCAUGCCUGUUCGAGCGUCAUUUGUACCUUCAAGCUCUGCUUGGUGUUGGGUGUUUGUCUCGCCUUUGCGUGUAGACUCGCCUUAAAACAAUUGGCAGCCGGCGUAUUGAUUUCGGAGCGCAGUACAUCUCGCGCUUUGCACUCAUAACGACGACGUCCAAAAAGUACUUUUUACACUCUUGACCUCGGAUCAGGUAGGGAUACCCGCUGAACUUAAGCAUAUCAAUA